UUGCUUUAACUGCACAUAUACUAAAAUUGGAAUGAUACAGAGAAGAUCAUCAUGGCCCCAGGAUAAGGAUGAUACACAAACUCAUGAACUCUUUCAUGAAAAAAAAAUUUUU
rfam:Pteropus alecto contig74550, whole genome shotgun sequence.